rnacentral:rRNA from 1 species
GCAAGUCGAGCGAAGCUUUUCAGUAGUUUACUACAGAAAAUGACUGAGCGGCGAACGGGUGAGUAACGCGUGAGCAACCUACCUUAGUUACUGGGAUAGCCCGAGGAAACUCGGAUUAAUACCGGAUAUUCUUAUUUAAUCACAUGAUUUUUUAAGGAAAGGUCAGCCGAACUAAGAUGGGCUCGCGUUCUAUCAGCUAGUUGGUAGGGUAAUGGCCUACCAAGGCUACGACGGAUAGCUGGUCUGAGAGGACGAUCAGCCACACUGGGACUGAGACACGGCCCAGACUCCUACGGGAGGCUGCAGCAGGGAAUAUUGCGCAAUGAGCGAAAGCUUGACGCAGCGACACCGAGUGUGGGAUGACGGAUCUAGGUUUAUAAACCACUUUCAGGAGGGAAGAAAAUGACGGUACCUCCACAAGAAGCCCCGGCCAACUACGUGCCAGCAGCCGCGGUAAUACGUAGGGGGCGAGCGUUGUCCGGAUUUAUUGGGCGUAAAGAGCUCGUAGGCGGUUCAA